GCCUUUCUUUUCAAAACAUUGAAAAUACUGAAAUCAGACAUACAAUACAAAACCUCAGAUGUGUCUACGUAAAAUCCCCUCGUGUCACCCUUGUCUCAGUGCCGGGAAAGUCGCUCCAUUUCUUGCAUAUUUCUCAACAAAGCCCCACCCACUCCUCCAAAGUGCUAAUCAUGAAAUCAGCAAUUUUGCACAACCAUCAGAAGAAAAAUCCACAGAUAAUAUCACUCCCAUAAUCGACAGAAAGUAUUGGACAGGCCGUAUCCACAAGCUGUGCACCGUCUACCAUGACGUGGACGCCGCCCUCGACCUCCUCCACGACCUCUCUGUACGUGGGUUCCGGCCGGACUCACUCAAUAUCAGCAGCAUUAUACACGCAUUCUGCGAAUCAGGCCGAUUCUCGGAAGCCCACAAUCGCCUUCUUCUUUUUAUUGGCUCUAGUUGCACCCCAGAUGAGCGGACUUGCAAUGUUUUAAUUGCACGCUUGCUAGAUGCGCGGGAGCCGUAUUGUACAUUGCGCGUCAUUCGGGCGUUGAUACAUGAUAAGCCUAAUUUUGUCCCUUCUUUGAUGAAUUUUAACCGGCUGAUUGAUCAGUUUUGUAAUUUGGAGAGACUGCGUGAAGCCCAUUCGCUGUUUUAUCAUAUGAUGAGCAGAGGUCACCGCCCCAACGAAGUUUCGUACACUACGUUAAUUAAUGGAUAUUGUAAAGUUGGGGACAUGGGUGCUGCUCAGAAGCUGUUCGAAGAAAUGUCUGAGUAUGGAGUGAAGUGCAAUGCACUUACUUAUAGUGUCUUGAUUCGUGGAAUUUUGCGGAAAAGAGAGUUUGAAUAUGGGAAAGAAUUGAUGAGAAGGCUUUGGGAUGUUAUGAAAACUGAGGAGGAUAUCCAUGUUAACAAUGCGGCCUUUUGUAAUGUUAUUGAUUCUUUAUGUAGAGAAGGGUUGUUCCACGAAGCAUUUAAGAUUGCAGAAGAUAUGCCGCAAGGGGCAAAUGUUGUAGAAGAAUUUGCUUAUGGGAAACUGAUUGAUUCACUGUGUACAUUUGGGAGGUGCAAUGGAGCUGCAAGGAUUGUUUAUAUGAUGAGAAAGAGAGGGUUUACACCAAGCUUGUCAUCAUAUAAUUCAAUUGUUCACGGUCUAUGCAAGGAGGGUGAUUGCUUAAGGGCUUAUCAGUUGUUGGAAGAAGGGAUUGAGUUGGGGUACUCGCCGUCCGAGUACACUUACAAGAUCUUAGUUGAAGGUCUUUGUUAUGAAUCUGAUAUUACUAAAGCAAGAAAAGUUUUAAAUGUGUUGUUGAGCAAGGAAGGUGUAUACAGGACUAGGAUAUACAAUAUAUUUUUGAGGGCUCUUUGUCUUAUGAAUAACCCAACUGAGCUCCUCAACGUACUUGUUUCUAUGUAUCAAGCUCAAUGCCAGCCAGAUAUCUUUACCCUCAAUACUGUUCUAAAUGGAUUUUGCAAAAUGGGAAGAGUUGUAGACGCUUUACAGGUUCUUCGUGAGAUGAUGUCAGGGAAGUUUUGUGCCCCGGAUAGGGUGACAUUUACAACUAUUAUUUGUGGAUUGUUAAAUGUAGGAAAGGUGGAAGAAGCUCGCAAUUUUUUGUAUAAAGUCAUGCCUGAAAAUGGUUUAUCCCCUAAUGUUGUUACUUAUAAUGCAGUUCUUCGUGGAUUGUUCAAACUAGGCCUGGAAAAUGAAGCUAUGGAAGUUUUUGAUAAUAUGGUCUCUAGUGGAGUGUUUGCUGAUUGCACUACUUAUACUAUUGUCAUCGAGGGGCUAUGUGAUUCUCACAGGAUAGAUCAGGCUAAGAGAUUUUGGGAGGAGGUCAUUUGGCAUUCUGGAGUUCAUGACAAUUUUGUUUAUGCAGCCAUACUUAAAGGGCUUUGCCACACUGGCAAAUUCAAUGAGGCGUCUGAUUUUCUAUAUGAACUGGCAGAUUGUGGUGUUACCCUCAAUAACGUAAAUUACAACAUUGUCAUUGACAAUGCUUGCAAGUUGGGUUUGAAGAGAGAGGCUUAUCAGAUUGUGGGUGAAAUGAGAAAGAAUGGGCUAACCCCAGAUGCUGUAACAUGGAGAAUAUUAGAUAAAUUGCAUGAUAAUGUAGGAAAUACAUUUUGUGAGGAUUCAAAUUUGCAAUCUAUUGAGUUUGUACGCUAACCAUAGAGCUGAACAGUCCAGUCAAAUUGCUGUUCUAGUAGAAAAUUAAUGGAAGACAGGGAAUGGAAAAUCAGAGAUGGACGCUUUCAAAAAGUAAAGCACCAUGAGCAGUGAAGGUGAAAAUGAAAAUAUGGUUGAUGUCAAAUUCCUGAUCAGGUAUGCACCAAAAUCUUUGUUGGUGAAAACAUAAUAUACUUGAUUUGAAAAUGAUUCUUGAGACUUCCAAAUCAAAGUUUUUUAUGUUAGUGUUGGUCAUGCUUGGCUGGGAUAUAUAUACAUGUUUCUUACCCAAGACGCUGAUAUUUUCUUUUAUGCUAGUAACUGAUCUAGAUUUAGUUCAUUAAGUUUGUCGUCAUAAAAAUUCAUUCUAGGAAGAAUCUGUUAUUCAAAACAAUUGUCAGAUGAGGAUUUUUUAAUUUUUUAGGUGUUACUGUAUUAGACAGUUACUUAAAGGUCGUUAGUAUAAUUUGCUCUAGAAAAUCUUAUUUCUGCUAUAAUGCAUGCAAAACCCCCCCGUUUUUUUUUAUAUAUAUAUUUAAAUUUUAAAAUAACUUUUAAUUUUAAGAAAAUCAAAAUUCUUUGCCCUAACCAAUCUGAACAUUUGCCCUAAAUAAAUUUCAAAACCUAAGUUGUCUAAUGCUCUGGCGUGGGAGUUGAAACACAUAUAUUUUUUAUGUUUCAAAUUUCAAUGGUAUUAAACUAAAAAUUAAAAAUAAAUUAAUAAUUGAAGACGGAGAAACAGGAUUGGAGUGGGGGAUCCUCGCUCCGCCUCCCUGAAAAUUUGUGUUCAAUUGAAGACGGAGAAAUACGAUGAAGGAUGCCCACGACAUUGGUUUUCACUUUUGUCUAACGUUCUUCAUCCUUUCUUUUCUUACAAUCUCAUUGUAUCCCCCCGAAAUGUUGCAUGGUGUCACAAGGAAUUUGUUUUCUGGAAGAGUUCAUAGUUAAGUUGUUUUUGGAUGGGACUCCUUAUCAUCUAGGAUUGAUGGACAAAUGAAUGAAUUGCAACUAUGGAAUAUCACAAUGGGUCGUCAAAUUUACUUCACGAAAUCGCUUUGUGGUCAAAGUGUGUCUUGUUUGUUUACCAUUAUUUCAAAACCCUUUUUUCUCUCAAACUCAUUUUCAACCAUACAUUCUCCAAGAAUUUACUAUUCCAAAACUCAUUCUAAUGUGAAUUCAAGAAUUUAUGGAGAUUAGGGGCCUGUAAGUUGGUUCUAAAUAAGAAGUGAGAGUCAUAAUCAGAUUUUCCAUUGAAGCAGCUAUUCCCUAGCCAAACUCAUCUCCUCUUUGUCCGUCCUUGCAAUCUCUAUGUAAAAAUUUUAGUUUCGUGGAAAAAGUGAAGCUGCCAGUGCCAUCUUGUUGUGCACUGUUACAUGGGAAAGUAAUUAAGUGAUUGGCAUUUUGACACAACUUGACAGAACUUGAUGUUAUUUCCAAGGCUUGCUGAUCUAAAUGGGAUGCCUGUAUAUGUUUAUAAAGUCGACAUUUCAUGGAGCGGAGAUUGCUCACUGUCGUUUAAUUUUGCAGAAAUCAAGAUUAACUUUAAGGCAUCGAAGGGCGAGACACAAAGGACAUGCUGCAGGCACCCACGUAGAGUGUAUGCUUACUGAAAAGGACUGUAAAAGCCAUGUUCAUUGACAAAAUUUCAUGCAAUGCCAAGUCUCUAUGCGAGGUUUUAAUUCCUAACGAAGAAGUGAAGAAAUUGUUCAAAUGAUUAAUGGAACUUUCAAUGAGUUGCUGUGGUCCCCGGCACAGUGGAGGUUCUGUAGCGAGACACGAUCAAGCACUGGGUUACACAACUGGAGGUGGAGAUGAUGUGGGUGGACUGUAGAUACUGCUGGUUGUGGUAGUAGGCGGAGUUGGCGGUGCUUGCAUAAUAGGAAUUGGUGGUGCCAGUGCAAUCACUGGCAGUGGCGCACGAGUAGGUUUUGAUUUAGUUUUGGGCGGAUGGGAGAGAGUUUUGGGAAAGAACGAGAUGAAUAUAUUUUUAUUUUUUUUUUCGUUUAUUUAACUUUAUAAUUGUUUUAUUUGAAAAAAAAUUUAAAGUUACAAUUUGCCCUUUCAAAAUUCAUCAAAAGAGGUCAAUUUUUUAGUCUUUUCUUAGUCAAUUGAUGGUCAUUUGGACAGGCACAUUCCAUUUCUCGUGUUGCAACGAAAUGAAAGUUUCGGGAAUGUAGAUGACAUAAAACAAAGGUUUGUGUGUAAUUUGAAACAAAAUAGAAGGUUUGAGAUUGUAG
rnacentral:lncRNA from 1 species